UACGUAGGAUGCAAGCGUUGUCCGGAUUUACUGGGCGUAAAGCGCGCGCAGGCGGCACACCAAGUACCCCCAUGAAAUCUCCUUGCUCAACGGGGAGGGUGUGGGGGUAGACUGGUGAGCUAGAGGACGGUAGAGGGGGGGUAGAAUUGCUGGUGUAGCGGUGAAAUGCGUAGAGAUCAGCAGGAAUACCCGUGGCGAAGGCGGCCCCCCUGGGCCGUACCUGACGCUGAGGCGCGAAGGCUAGGGGAGCGAACGGG
rnacentral:rRNA from 1 species